UACGUAGGGUGCAAGCGUUGUCCGGAAUUAUUGGGCGUAAAGAGCUCGUAGGCGGUUUGUCGCGUCGGAUGUGAAAACCCGGGGCUCAACCCCGGGCCUGCAUUCGAUACGGGCAGACUAGAGUUCGGUAGGGGAGUCUGGAAUUCCUGGUGUAGCGGUGAAAUGCGCAGAUAUCAGGAGGAACGCCGGUGGCGAAGGCGGGACUCUGGGCCGAUACUGACGCUGAGGAGCGAAAGCGUGGGGAGCAAACAGG
rnacentral:rRNA from 1 species